rnacentral:pre_miRNA from 1 species
CAUAUACUCCCUCCGUCCGAAAAUACUUGUCAUCAAAAUGGACAAAAAGAGAUGUAUCUAGAACUAAAAUACAUCUAGAUACAUCCCCUUUUAUUCAUUUUGAUGACAAGUAUUUCCGGACGGAGGGAGUACUGA